UACGUAGGGUCCGAGCGUUGUCCGGAGUUACUGGGCGUAAAGCGCGCGCAGGCGGCGGUGUAAGCAUGGCGUGAAAGCCCUGGCUUAACCAGGGAGGGUCGUCGUGGACUGCACCGCUUGAGGCGGUAGGGCUGGUGGAAUGCCUGGUGUAGUGGUGAAAUGCGUAGAGAUCAGGCGGAACACCCGUGGCGAAGGCGGCCAGCUGGGCCGUCCCUGACGCUGAGGCGCGAAGGCGUGGGAGCG
rnacentral:rRNA from 1 species